rnacentral:rRNA from 1 species
UACGUAGGGGGCAAGCGUUGUCCGGAUUUAUUGGGCGUAAAGAGCGUGUAGGCGGUUUGGUAGGUCCGCUGUGAAAACUCGAGGCUCAACCUCGAGACGCCGGUGGAAACCACCAGGCUAGAGUCCGGAAGAGGAGAGUGGAAUUCCUGGUGUAGCGGUGAAAUGCGCAGAUAUCAGGAAGAACGCCCGUGGCUAAGGCGGCUCUCUAGUACGGUACUGACGCUGAGACGCGAAAGCGUGGGGAGCGAACAGG